rnacentral:rRNA from 1 species
AUUGAACGCUGGCGGCAUGCUUUACACAUGCAAGUCGAACGGUAGCAGGGAGCUUGCUCCGCUGACGAGUGGCGAACGGGUGAGUAAUAUAUCGGAACGUACCCAAGAGUGGGGGAUAACGUAGCGAAAGUUACGCUAAUACCGCAUACGAUCUAUGGAUGAAAGCAGGGGACCUUCGGGCCUUGUGCUCCUGGAGCGGCCGAUAUCUGAUUAGCUAGUUGGUGAGGUAAAGGCUCACCAAGGCGACGAUCAGUAGCUGGUCUGAGAGGACGACCAGCCACACUGGAACUGAGACACGGUCCAGACUCCUACGGGAGGCAGCAGUGGGGAAUUUUGGACAAUGGGCGCAAGCCUGAUCCAGCAAUGCCGCGUGAGUGAAGAAGGCCUUCGGGUUGUAAAGCUCUUUUGUCAGGGAAGAAACGGCUGUGGCUAAUAUCCACGGCUAAUGACGGUACCUGAAGAAUAAGCACCGGCUAACUACGUG